rfam:Triticum aestivum genome assembly, contig: Triticum_aestivum_CS42_TGACv1_scaffold_158861_2DL
UAUGUACUCCCUCCGUUCGGAAUUACUUGUCGCAGAAAUGGAUGUAUCUAGACGUAUUCUAUAUACAUCCAUUUCCACGACAAGUAAUUCCGAACAGAGAGAGUAGCUA